rnacentral:sRNA from 1 species
AAAGGGAAGAGCUCUCCCUCUCUCGCUC